AUUUACUGGUUCCGGGGGGACUCUAGAGAUUAGAGUUUGAUCCUGGCUCAGAUUGAACGCUGGCGGCAGGCCUAACACAUGCAAGUCGAGCGGCAGCACGGGAAGCUUGCUUCCUGGUGGCGAGCGGCGGACGGGUGAGUAAUGCAUAGAAAUCUGCCCGGUAGUGGGGGAUAACCUGGGGAAACCCAGGCUAAUACCGCAUACGUCCUACGGGAGAAAGCAGGGGAUCUUCGGACCUUGCGCUAUCGGAUGAGUCUAUGUCGGAUUAGCUUGUUGGUGAGGUAAUGGCUCACCAAGGCGACGAUCCGUAGCUGGUCUGAGAGGAUGAUCAGCCACAUCGGGACUGAGACACGGCCCGAACUCCUACGGGAGGCAGCAGUGGGGAAUAUUGGACAAUGGGCGAAAGCCUGAUCCAGCCAUGCCGCGUGUGUGAAGAAGGCCUUCGGGUUGUAAAGCACUUUCAGUGGGGAAGAAAGCCUUGGGGCUAAUACCCUCGAGGAAGGACAUCACCCACAGAAGAAGCACCGGCUAACUCCGUGCCAGCAGCCGCGGUAAUACGGAGGGUGCGAGCGUUAAUCGGAAUUACUGGGCGUAAAGCGCGCGUAGGCGGUCUGAUAAGCCGGUUGUGAAAGCCCCGGGCUCAACCUGGGAACGGCAUCCGGAACUGUCAGGCUAGAGUGCAGGAGAGGAAGGUAGAAUUCCCGGUGUAGCGGUGAAAUGCGUAGAGAUCGGGAGGAAUACCAGUGGCGAAGGCGGCCUUCUGGACUGACACUGACGCUGAGGUGCGAAAGCGUGGGUAGCAAACAGGAUUAGAUACCCUGGUAGUCCACGCCGUAAACGAUGUCGACUAGCCGUUGGGCUCCUUGAGAGCUUUGUGGCGCAGUUAACGCGAUAAGUCGACCGCCUGGGGAGUACGGCCGCAAGGUUAAAACUCAAAUGAAUUGACGGGGCCCGCACAAGCGGUGGAGCAUGUGGUUUAAUUCGAUGCAACGCGAAGAACCUUACCUACCCUUGACAUCGUGCGAACUUUCCAGAGAUGGAUUGGUGCCUUCGGACGCACAGACAGUGCUGCAUGCUGUCGUCAGCUCGUGUGUGAAUGUGGUUAAGUCCGUACGAGCGCACCCUUGUCUUAUUGCAGCGAGUCAUGUCGACCUCUAGGAAACUGCCGGUGACACGAGAGGUGGGACGCACGUCAGUCAUCAUGGCGUACGGUAAGCUUACACACGUGCUACAGGGUUUGCG
rnacentral:rRNA from 1 species